rnacentral:misc_RNA from 1 species
GAACGCACAUUGCGCCCUUUGGUAUUCCGAAGGGCAUGCCUGUUCGAGCGUCAUUAUCACCCCUCAAGCCUCCGGCUUGGUGUUGGAUGGUUUGGUGACAGCGCCCUCUGGGCAGCGGUCAGCCCUCCCAAAGACAAUGACGGCGGCCUCGUUGGACCCCCGGUACACUGAGUUCCUCACCGAACACGUACUGGAUCAAGGGCCCGCGGAGCACGGUCUGCCUCCCCUCAGGGAGAACUUUUAUCUCAAGGUUGACCUCGGAUCAGGUAGGAAUACCCGCUGAACUUA